rnacentral:misc_RNA from 1 species
UAACUCACUUGAUAACAAAUUGCUGUCAUCUCCUGCAAUAAUAUUUAAAAAAUGUUAAGAUCUUAUCAUGUUGAUAAAAGGGCUAAUGGCAUGAAAAAUCCUGAACUUUGAUGCUUUUAAUUUCAUUUUAUGAAUUUGAUUGAUAAGUCGUUGAUUUUGUUUCAAUUCUCUCUCAUGGGUAAUAGACGUGUGCUCAUGCUAAUAUUGUACUGAGAUUCGGCACUCCUCAAUCCUGAAAACUACCAAAUGGUUGUGUUUUGCAAAACUUUUCCGCCUCGUGAAGCUGCAUAAAAUUCAUUUUAAGAUCCCUAUUCUGUAAAAGACAACUGUUUGUUGGCUCUUUAGGCUUAAGAAGGGUUCACAUCAUCCAAGUUGGCCA